rnacentral:rRNA from 1 species
AACGCUAGCUACAGGCUUAACACAUGCAAGUCGAGGGGCAGCAUUUCAGUUUGCUUGCAAACUGGAGAUGGCGACCGGCGCACGGGUGAGUAACACGUAUCCAACCUGCCGAUAACUCGGGGAUAGCCUUUCGAAAGAAAGAUUAAUACCCGAUGGUAUAAUCAGACCGCAUGGUCUUGUUAUUAAAGAAUUUCGGUUAUCGAUGGGGAUGCGUUCCAUUAGGCAGUUGGUGAGGUAACGGCUCACCAAACCUUCGAUGGAUAGGGGUUCUGAGAGGAAGGUCCCCCACAUUGGAACUGAGACACGGUCCAAACUCCUACGGGAGGCAGCAGUGAGGAAUAUUGGUCAAUGGGCGCAGGCCUGAACCAGCCAAGUAGCGUGAAGGAUGACUGCCCUAUGGGUUGUAAACUUCUUUUAUAUGGGAAUGAAGUUUUCCACGUGUGGAAUUUUGUAUGUACCAUAUGAAUAAGGAUCGGCUAACUCCGUGCCAGCAGCCGCGGUAAUACGGAGGAUCCGAGCGUCAUCCGGAUUUAUUGGGUUUAAAGGGAGCGUAGGUGGAUUGUUAAGUCAGUUGUGAAAGUUUGCGGCUCAACCGUAAAAUUGCAGUUGAAACUGGCAGUCUUGAGUACAGUAGAGGUGGGCGGAAUUCGUGGUGUAGCGGUGAAAUGCUUAGAUAUCACGAAGAACUCCGAUUG